CCUCCCCCCACUUCCACUCAAUGAGAUGGCACUGCUGUGCACACGUGACUUUACGGCUGUGUGGGUCAGAUAAUCCCCAGACUGUGAUGAGCAGUUCAGGUCACGUGGUAACUUGGUGGCCCUUGGCCAAGUGUUUAGUUUCUUUUUCUCUUUUUUUGAGACACAGUCUCAUUGUGGCAGCAUCUUGACCCACGGCAACCUCCGUCUCCCGGGCUCCAGUGAUUCUCCUGCCUCAGGUAGCUGGGAUGACCGGCCUGCGACACCACGCCUGGCUAAUUUUGUAUUUUUAGUGGAGAAGUUUUCACCAUAUUGGCCAGGCUGGUCUCAAACUCCCAACCUCAGGUGAUCCACCCACCUCGGCCUCGCAAAGUGCUGGGAUUACAGGCGUGAGCCGCCGCGCCUGGCUACCAAGUGUUUUGCUUCUACGAAGGCCCAGAAGCAGGCCAAGAGCUGUUUCUCAGGAGGAGGGCUCAGAUGCAGCAACUUACCCUUCACCUUAGAACAGACCCCACACCACUGGCAAUUUCGCUGAGCAUAAUGUCAUCAGCGUAAUGGGCCAGUGUGACAUCCUGGGGAAGGGAGAGGCAAUCAAGACCCCUGAGAACUACCUUCGGACACAGGCUGGAGAGGUGAGGGACCCCUGACGUGGGACGGUGAGCGUGCGUUGCUGGCCCGGCUUCUGCUGGGCCUUGUGGGCAGGGGUGGAGAAGAAGCAUUUGCCGGAUCAACAGCUGUGCCCUGGGUAACUGGAGAUGUGCUAAUUGGCUCAAGCGAUGGAGCCGUGUCUGGCCCAGCAGCUGCAGGUGGAGUCAAGCUUACGACAGUCCCGUCAUUCUGCAGGACCCACCUGUCUCCCCUGAGGGCCACAUAGGUGAGUGGAGUAGGCUGUGGGGGGUCACCGCCCCUGCACCUUUGGAGUCCUUGGUGGUGGCACUGACAUCUGCAGUCCCUCCAGGGACGUGGGAUGGCUUUUGACUGACUAUUGUAGGUAGAGCCUUUCUAAUGGCGCCCACCCUGCCCUUCCCACCACAGUAGUCCCCACCCCCUAGGGCAGGGGACGAAUGUGGGGGCUCUGCCGGCUGCUGAGUGUGUCUGUUACACAUCUGGAGCUGGGGAAAUGACCACAGGAUGGGUCUGGGGACCCACUGGACCCACAAAGUCAGAUCUGAGCUAAAACUCCAUUGAUCACCCGGCUUUCUAAGCCCCUCCCUAACCGGAAGGCCACAGUGUCCCUCCAGUGUCUCCCAGAAUCAAUGUCAGGCCAGAGGCAGCAUCCAGUCAUCCCAAAAUGUCUCAUUAUUUUCCUUUCUGCAAUACACAGUUACCCAGAUAGAAAGCCAUAGGCCCCUUUGGAGAAGACCAGGGGAAGAAUUAACAGUAUGUAUAAAUUUUUGGCAGACCUAGGGUCCUUCCUCAAGGGUACCCCGCCUUUCUUUCAUGUAAGGAGUCUGGGUUCAUAGCCUCAAGUCUCUGAAUGACUGAGGCCAUGACUCUCCGUGUUUAUAAUUGGAGUUAGACUUUUCUCUACUUGAUCUGGAAGUUUUCUGCUUGUAUCCAGUAGGAACUGAGCAGGCUCCCCAUCUGUUUCCCUGCUAGGAGCAGCAGGAUAAACAGCCAGUGCCGUAGGUCUGCAUGGGUCAGACCUGAGACCCAGGCCUCUGCUGUCCAUCAUGGUAACCACACCCACUUUGCCUUUGGUGCUCCAGUGUCCCCGCUUGGCCCCUGCUGCCCCAGGAUCCAAUUAUUCCCAUCACCUGUAAGUUUUGCAGUUGAUUGACUGCAGUUUUCAAUGUGAGUCUGGCCUACAGAGAAGAACAAUGACAGAGGUCUUCGAGGAGACGGGGCUCCUCGCAAACCCGUGUCUCAGUGUUGUGAAACAGCAGUCCCCAACCUUUCUGGCACAGGGACUAGUUUCAUGGAAGAAUAUCUUUCCAUGGACCCGGAGUUGGAGGGUGGUUUUGGGAUGAUUCAAGCACAUUACAUUUAUUGUGCACUUUAUCUGUAUCAAUAUUACAUUGUAAUGUAUAAGGAAGCAAUUACACAACUCGCCCUAAUGUGGAAUGAGUGGGAACUCUGAGCUUGUUUUCCUGCAGCUAGACAGGGGGUCUAGUUGGUUCCAUCUGGGCGUGAUGGGAGGUAUGACAGAUCAUCAGGCAUUAGAUUCUCACAAGGAACAUGCAAUCCAGAUCCCCGGCAUGGGCAGUUCACAAUGGGGUUUCGCUCCUCGGAGAAUCUAAUGCUGCUGCUCAUCUGACA